CUUACCUCUGGCAGUUUAACAGGUGGGAUGUGUAGGAUGGCAGCCACAGAGCCAGAACAUCCUUGCUGUGACCAGCCCAUGGUACUCAGAUGGUAACAGGCUGCUAGACCAUAAUCUCCAGUUUCUACAAGGACUCCAUUUACUCUGUCUUCACAGAUGGUAGAAACAGACAAGACUACCAUCACUCUAGGAGGAAGGCAAGCUUUGCAUCACGUGGACCAGGAGUCAGUGAAAGGUUAAUCAGGUAUUCCUUUAGUUUGUGUGUGCUUCCAAAUCAGUCUCUCUUUUUGUGUCCUUUAUGCUGCAUACAUACCGUGGGG
rnacentral:lncRNA from 1 species